AAUAUGGUGAUGCAGUUAAUGUGUCUGCUGGACACACACAUAUACAGUAAGUGUGUGUGUGUGUGUGUGUGUGUGUAUGUGUGUGUGUGUGUGCUUUUUUUCCCAGAGGCGGUGAGAGCGACGUGUUUCCAUGACGACCAGUUGCAGGUAGAAACAAUUUAAAACAGAAAAAACACUUCAUGUACAAAA